AUUGAACGCUGGCGGCAGGCCUAACACAUGCAAGUCGAGCGGAGCGGCGGACGCGUGAGUAAUGCCUAGGAAUCUGCCUGGUAGUGGGGGAUAACGUCCGGAAACGGGCGCUAAUACCGCAUACUAUCAGAUGAGCCUAGGGCGGAUUAGCUAGAUGGUGGGGUAAAGGACUACCAAGGCGACGAUCCCUAACUGGUCUGAGAGGAUGAUCAGUCAAACUGGGACUGAGACACGGUCCAGACUCCUACGGGAGGCAGCAGUGGGGAAUAUUGGACAAUGGGCGAAAGCCUGAUGCAGCCAUGCCGCGUGUGUGAAGAAGGUCUUCGGAUUGUAAAGCACUUUAAGUUGGGAGGCGUUACCCACAGAAGAAGCACCGGCUAACUUCGUGCCAGCAGCCGCGGUAAUAC
rnacentral:rRNA from 1 species